UGCUUAGUAAUAUAUAAUAAUAAUAUAAUUAUGUAAGAUUCUCGCUAUAGCCACAAGGUGGUGGUAACUUGCGUAGCAGAUCUUAGCACACGAAGUAGCGUAGUUAAAUGUAAACAGGAAGUGGAUACACGGGGUUCGUUCUUGGCCUGUGAGUUUUUGAGAUUGAGACUACAUUUUUGUUCAUUUUAAUCGGAUAAUUACAUAUCUACAGAAUUAUUGUUAUAGUAGCUUGUAUAUUUGUUUUACGUAAAAUAUUUGAACAUGUCCGGAUCAUCGAGGCCAGGUGAAAUGUCCAAUUCGCAGUUGUUCCAGCAGUUAGCGCUUUUGGGCUGGCUCCGUUCAGACAGCGAAAAAGACAAGGAGAUCUUAACGGCCAUCACAGGCAUUCAGGUGGCACGAGAGAUCAUGAACCGUCUCACAGGACAAAGAGAAGUGGACGCUUUUAAGAAAGAAUGUAUCCAGAGCAUUGCAGACUUUGUGCAGAAGAAUCCACGUGCCUCACAAAAGGAAAUCAACACAGCAGUUGAGAAGCAUGUCUUGCUUUUUGCUGCUCGAGUACAGGCCCUUGAUUCUGCACCCCUACUAUGAGUCCCACACAGCUUACACACAGCUUCUUUGUUGUAGCUCACUAUCGCUGACUGACCACUGCAUCUGAAUCGAAAAGCUUCUAAAAUUAAGAAAUUAUUACACCAAUCAAGGCUCUCAUGCUGUAUUGCAAACAACCCUAUUGCAAUGUUGUGCUACAGUACAAAGAAUACUGGAUAAAAAGCUUUAUGUCAUGGACCAGGAGAUGACCAGACAACUGUACAUUUUGGUAACAUUCCAAUAAUUCCACCAGCCAGUCUGUUUAGAUUGUUAUCGAAGCUAAUUUAAUCUAAACCAUGUUUUUGAUAUAAUUUUCAUAACGUAGGUAGCCUUAUCUAAGGCAGAUGUAAUUGUUGUCUAUCUGUUGUAUGUUGUCUUCAUAUAUUGUCUAAUAUUAUACAUAUUGCCUUAUUUUAAUUAUUGUAAUGAAUUGAUAUUAAAAGGGAGACUCUUCUGA